rnacentral:rRNA from 1 species
UACGUAGGGGGCAAGCGUUAUCCGGAUUUACUGGGUGUAAAGGGAGCGUAGACGGUUGUAUAAGUCUGGAGUGAAAGCCCGGGGCCCAACCCCGGGACUGCUUUGGAAACUGUGUAACUUGAGUACAGGAGGGGCAGGCGGAAUUCCUGGUGUAGCGGUGAAAUGCGUAGAUAUCAGGAGGAACAUCGGUGGCGAAAGCGCUUUACUGGACCAUUAUUGACGCUGAGGAACGAAAGCCAGGGGAGCAAAUGGG